AAGACUCUACUUUCAGGGAUCAUUUCUAUGGUUGGUUACCAGAGAAGUUUCUCUGAACAUGUAGAGCACUGGUAAAAAUAAAUAAAUAAAUAAGAAAUCAUUUAUUUAUUGAGACAGA
rfam:Chlorocebus sabaeus isolate 1994-021 chromosome 5, whole genome shotgun sequence.